UUAUGAGCUCCCUUUAGUAUCAUAAAUUGUCUGCGAGAAUUUGUUACGGAUCAAUUUGUGAAUAACAGUGUUUCUGUAAGUUUUGUCGUAAUGGAAGGUGGUUGUGAAGAUGAAGACGAGGCGGAUUCUCGGUGUCUACUGAAAAUUAGUGCUGGUUGGUGCAUCUUUAAAAACCUAGGAUAAUAAACAUCAAAAGUAGUUAGGGUGGUGGCAGCCGGUUUUACUUGAGUGCAUUUGAGACCUUCAGAGAUAAUUAUAUCCCUGAACCAAUACCUGUCUGCUGCCUGCCUACUACUACCUGCUACCUGUGUAGCGAGUAUCAUCAUUCAUCAUCACCCAUCAUCAUCAUCAUCAUCAUCAGUUUCAGUCUACUGGCUGAAGAAAGCCUGACCACCAACGGCUGCGAAGCUCACCAGGGGACCAGCUCAUCAUCAGCUGAUCAUCCUGGUGGAGUCAUCAUUGCGGGAAGGUGACGUCGGCGUCUCGUAGGCCGACGGUCAACAUCUACAGCUGUCAGCUUCGGGAAGCCUUUUUUAAUUUAGAUGCCGUUGCGGACAAAUGUAUGCUUCGCACUCGACUAGCAUCAUCAUCCGCAGCGUCAAGACUAUCUACUGUUAAACAAAGGCUUCCCCCAACAAUUUGCCUGCCUCCAGCGCUAUUAAGCAGGCUUUAUACAACGUGUAACGUUUAAUGCGCAAAACUUCAAACACCACAAACGAUCUCUAAAUCAACCAUCCGAAUUCUGAAGGAAAAUCAGAGAUUUCGUGAGCUCAACAGCUCAUAACACCUUUCCAACUGGUUGGUUCUGCAGGCAAUUGACAUCAUUACCUGCGCCUGUGCGCGUCGAUACGACGCUUUUGGCGAAUUCGUUCGCGAACGUGGUGCAGACUCUGCUCAUUGUUCUUUUGAAUCUAUAUCUAGCUUUUGCGCAUUAAAGUUACACGUUGUAUAGAUCGUCCGACCACCUUCAAGCUGCGAAAUCGAAUAUUUUAUCUAAUAAGAGCAGAGCGCGUCGCGCCACGCUUAGUGUAGUGUUUCGUAGUUGCAAAUAUAUUUCGUAGUUUCUAUGAAUUUUACCUUUCACUUGCUAACGCAAAUUAUGUAUUUCAAAAUCAGUGGAUUCUGGCUAAUAUUACAAUUGCGAAUGUGUGUUUGUAUAAACAUCAAGUUUGGCAAAGUUUGAAACGUUUUCUGAAAGUAAAUCUUUUAGUCGCUUCUUUAGGAAACAAUUGUAAGCUUUUUGAAAUUAUAUCACUUAAUAUUCAUGCUAUGCUAUAAUAAAAUAAAUGACUUACUAAUUCA